GACGAACGCUGGCGGCGUGCUUAACACAUGCAAGUCGAACGGAAAGGCCCUGCUUGCAGGGUGCUCGAGUGGCGAACGGGUGAGUAACACGUGGGUGAUCUGCCCCUUACUUUGGGAUAAGCCUGGGAAACUGGGUCUAAUACUGGAUAGGACCAUGCUGUAGGUGGUGUGGUGGAAAGAUUAGUUUCGGUAAGGGAUGAGCUCGCGGCCUAUCAGCUUGUUGGUGGGGUAAUGGCCUACCAAGGCGUCGACGGGUAGCCGGCCUGAGAGGGUGGACGGCCACAUUGGGCCUGAGAUACGGCCCAGACUCCUACGGGAGGCAGAAGUGGGGAAUAUUGCACAAUGGGCGCAAGCCUGAUGCAGCGACGCCGCGUGGGGGAUGACGGCCUUCGGGUUGUAAACUCCUUUCAGCCAUGACGAAGCCUUCGGGUGACGGUAGUGGUAGAAGAAGCACCGGCUAACUACGUG
rnacentral:rRNA from 1 species